rnacentral:misc_RNA from 1 species
ACAUGCUGUCCGCCUUCGGAGAACUUAAUUGGAGAGCCAGUCAACCACCAAUCCACGCACCCAUACGCCUUUCACCUUGCUCUAAUCUCUACACUCCCAACUCCAACCUCCAUCGAGAUCCACCUGAAAAUACGUACAUGGACUAUCCCAACUCCAUUGUUGCCGAAGCCUCCAAUACUGAGCAUGCCCCAUACACUCCCUUGCAGGGGCAGCCCUCCACCGUCGGACCUCCCACAAAACUCCGGCGACCUUUGAAAGUUUUCUCUGUGACGUUUGCCUCCGUCAUUUUCUUAUUGUCAUUGGUGACAUUAAUCAUUAACCAAAGCCGAGAGCCAUUACCAACACCAAACAAGAACCCGUCUCCUUCAACGCCUAAAGCUACGUCAUUUGCGAAAAGGGAGCCAAGGGGCGUGGCCGAAGGAGUAUCAGCCAAGUCAAAUCCAUCAUUUUUCAGUGAUGGAGUCUCCUACAAUUGGACAAACGCUAUGCUUGCUUGGCAAAGAACAGCUUACCAUUUCCAACCCCAGCGAAAUUGGAUGAAUGGUAGGUAGCAGUCAAUUAAUUACAAAAACAAAAUCUUUUUAGUUCUUUGCUAAUUGCACCUUUGUGCUAUAUUUUUUACUGUUCAUAUUUUGUUGUUUUGUUCUGAUUGAAUAUUCUUCCAUUGUGUUUGGUAUGUUGCCGAUUGGUUUUUGGUGGGUGGGAUUCUGCUUCAGAUCCUGAUGGUACGAUCUUAUUAUACUUCUGAGAAUACAAGUUUCUUCAUUUAGCUGAUUAUAUCAUCCCGUUACGAUCUCUCUCCCUUUUUUUUAUUGUUCUUAUUGCAAAUUGUUAACUUCUAAUCAAUUUGGGUGACGAUUGAAUAAUCAAGAGGGUGAGAUGAUUUGACUUUUCUUUCAUGCAAUCUGUUACGUAGAUAACCGGGCAUGAACCAACUUGCUGCCAUAGCUACGUGUUUGUCUACAAGUUUAAGUACACAGGCUAGACGAAAGAAACAUAAGCUAAAAUAUUUUUAUUACAGCCAGUAUAUAGUACUCCAGG